CAUGAAGCUGGAUUCGCUAGUAAUCGCGCAUCAGCCACGGCGCGGUGAAUACGUUCCCGGGCCUUGUACACACCGCCCGUCAAGCCAUGGAAGCCGGGGGUGCCUGAAGUGCGCUGCCGCAAGGAGCGCCCUAGGGUAAAACCGGUGACUGGGGCUAAGUCGUAACAAGGUACC
rnacentral:rRNA from 1 species